rnacentral:rRNA from 1 species
GACGAACGCUGGCGGCGUGCCUAAUACAUGCAAGUCGAGCGGACUUGAUGAAGUGCUUGCACUUCUGAUAGUUAGCGGCGGACGGGUGAGUAACACGUGGGUAACCUGCCCGUAAGACUGGGAUAACAUUCGGAAACGGAUGCUAAUACCGGAUACACAACUUGAUCGCAUGGUCGAGUUGGGAAAGGCGGAGUAAUCUGCCACUUAUGGAUGGACCUGCGGCGCAUUAGCUAGUUGGUGAGGUAACGGCUCACCAAGGCGACGAUGCGUAGCCGACCUGAGAGGGUGAUCGGCCACACUGGGACUGAGACACGGCCCAGACUCCUACGGGAGCAGCAGUAGGGAACCUUCCGCAAUGGACGAAAGUCUGACGGAGCAACGCCGCGUGAGUGAUG